UGAGGAAUUUUGCGCAAUGGGGGAAACCCUGACGCAGCAACGCCGCGUGAGUGAUGAAGGCUUUCGGGUCGUAAAGCUCUGUCAAGUGGGAAGAACCUGCAAAAUGUUAAUACCAUUUUGCACUGACGGUACCACUGAAGGAAGCACCGACUAACUCCGUGCCAGCAGCCGCGGUAAUACGGAGGGUGCAAGCGUUAUUCGGAAUCACUGGGCGUAAAGGACGCGUAGGCGGGAAGCCAAGUCUGAUGUGAAAUCCUAUGGCUUAACCAUAGAACUGCAUUGGAAACUGGUUACCUAGAGUAUGGGAGGGGGAGAUGGAAUUAGUGGUGUAGGGGUAAAAUCCGUAGAUAUCACUAGGAAUACCGAAAGCGAAGGCGAUCUCCUGGAACAAUACUGACGCUAAGGCGUGAAAGCGUGGGGAGCAAACG
rnacentral:rRNA from 1 species